GUUAAUGGGGACUAAAGAGACAUUUAAUAGCUGGGAAUGGUCUUCAACACUGAUCAGUAUUACAAGACUGUUUCUAGUGUUGCAUUACAUUUGUAACUUAAAUGCAAGUUGAGUUGUCAGGUUUAAUGUGCUGCGUAUGUAUUUGUACAUGAUCAUGAGUUUGCUGGUUAUGCACAGAUGUGAUUGAUUGAUCUCAGAACAGGAUCUGACUUCUUGCAGGCUAUUUUAUUCCCUGAGACUUAGGCAAAGCCUCCUAAAACUGAGCCCUCACUGAGGCGGUCGGACUGUGGGAGGCGGAGUGUGUGGUGUGGGUUGGACGUGGCUGUGUGUGAGAGAUAAAAAGGAGAGGUUCAUGAGACUUCCAAGACACAGAUACGCAAGGAUUGUUCGAGACGGUGAGAGACAUGAUGGUAGACGGGCAGCGGAGACUGUCAGUCGUGGAGAAAAGAUGCCGACCUUGCGUUGUGUACAAGAAAAUGACCAACGCAGCUCCUCCUGCUGAGGUUCAAACUGAGGAAGCACCAAUUCAAGAGCUAAAAGAGACUCAGGAGUUGCUGAUGAAGUGAGCCUUGUGGACUUUACUGAGCUCUUCUUGGGAUUAUGAUGCUCACCUCUCAGGCAACGCUCUGGACUAAUCAAGGCACUGACUUCUGUGGUGGGCUCAUUCACUCAAACUAAGUGAAGUCUGCUCAUCUUAAAUGCCUUUGCUGGAUUUAAGGAGGGAACUCUCUUCAUCUUCCAUCUAUCUUGAACUGAACUAAACUGAGCCUCGAUUUUAGCCAGCCUUGCAAAAAAGGAAAAAAAAAACACACUGUAAAAGAAACUGCAAAUGAUAUUGAGUUAAUAUAUACAAUACGUGUCAUUACUUGACCCAAAACAGUAACAUUAGGGCUCCGUUAAUUUGGAAAACUGAUAAAUUGCAAAUGGCAAUCAUGCAUCAGUUAGGGUUAGGGACACUUGUUAAUCAUUUUGUUACAUAUUUUCCCCAUUUGGUUGUUUAGAUUUUUGGAUGUCUCCAGAGUCUCUUAAUGCAUGUAGCGUGUAAAGUAGAUGAAGCCAAUUUCCAUGUCUCUUCCGGUGGGCUCCUGCUUCUGUUUACACAAAGUAAAUUGAAGAUUAUGAUUUGAAGCUAAUUUAUAUUUCCACAAGAAAUGUAUGAAAUGAUAUGCCUUCCAGCAUCAAGAUUAUGUAUUUAAGGAUGAAUAAAGACAAAAUCCUUAAUAACCUCAAGUUUUUCAGUUUGUGUAGAGCUUUUAUUGUUUUUGCUGAAAGCGUUCACAGUUCUGCAUAAUUGUUUAUAAUUUUAAUAUGGUUACUGGAGACUAAAGAGACAUUUAAUAGCUGGGAGUGGUCUUCAACACUGAUCAGUAUUACAAGACUGUUUCCAGUGUUGCAUUACAUCGGCGGUCGAAUAGAAUGAGAGGAGGUCGGAUAGAGAGGCGGUCGAACUGUGUGUGAGAGAUAAAAGGAGAGGUUCAUGAGACUUCCAAGACACCAGUACAUAGGCAGACAAGCACUCACUCACGGGAACUUUACUCUGCAACUCCCUCUCCGGAGAAGAAAAGGACCUACUUUGAAACUCUCUAGUGCCACCGAUCGAAUCAGCGGG
ensembl:lncRNA